ACUGGAUGAUCUAAGGCUGUGAAUGGCGGCCGUCACAGGAGGGAGAAUAGUGGAUUGAGCUCCCGAAGCCAGCGGCUGCAGGCGGUGUGACUUGAGUUGGGACUCUGGACAGGAAACACAACACAACUGUGUUCAGAGUCCAGACACCAGACCUAGAUCCAGACGCUGACUCCGACAGCGUCUAACCCUGGUGAAUCACCUGGCUUCGUGCUUUCAAUGAGGACCGUCACCCAUGGCACCAAGGACAGACGCGAUCUCUCCGUCUCUGGCUCUGACAACCGGCUGUGCCUCAUCCGCCAUUACAGACACUGGCUCUCGAGCCACGAGCCAGAUAAACCUCCCUCCCGUAGUUGCUUCUGCCUGUGGUGUUUCAUCACAGCUAAGACAGCUGUGAAGAGGCUCGGGAAGGAUUUCCUGCCAUCGGGUCGCCCGCCCCGUGGGCAGGUCUGGGAGGCUGGCCUUGGCUGUCGCUGUAGGAGGCCCAGCCCGCUGAGGGCCACUCCGUCCCCUGGCCAGAGGGCCUGAGCUGCGUACGAUAGCUGAGCAUAAGCCUGCUGGGCACCGAGGAGCAGCAGCCGCUAUGGUCCCUGCUGCCCAUCCCUGGCUGUGAAGGGAGCUGCUUGGUUAGGCACGGCUGCCAUCGCACCCUGACCUCCCUCACUGAUGGACUGUGAUCCAGAAUUGUGAGCAUAUACGCCUUUCUCCCCCAGCCUUUCGGCAGGGUGCUGGUCACGGUGACCAAAAUGAAACCAAACACCUUGGUUUCUAAUCUCUUUGCACCUCGGU